GAUGAAGAACGCAGCGAAAUGCGAUACGUAAUGUGAAUUGCAGAAUUCAGUGAAUCAUCGAGUCUUUGAACGCACAUUGCGCCCCCUGGUAUUCCGGGGGGCAUGCCUGUCCGAGCGUCAUUGCUGCCCUCAAGCACGGCUUGUGUGUUGGGCCUCCGUCCUCCUCCCGGGGGACGGGCCCGAAAGGCAGCGGCGGCCGCGCGUCCGGUCCUCGAGCGUAUGGGGCUUCGUCACCCGCUCUUGUAGGCCCGGCCGGCGCUUGCCGACACAUCAAUCUUUUUUCCAGGUUGACCUCGGAUCAGGUAGGGAUACCCGCUGAACUUAAGCAUAUCAAUAAGCGGAGGA
rnacentral:misc_RNA from 1 species